AAUGCACAUUGUUAGAGCUUGGAGUUGACGUCACGAACUGGCCAAUGAACUCACGAGUGUAGGUAGUGUGCUGCCUGAGUGGCAGGUUUUCGCUAACCCUCCACUCUGGCCUGUGAGUGGACUUUGAUAGUAACGUUUGCUGCAAGU
rnacentral:snoRNA from 1 species